rnacentral:rRNA from 1 species
ACUCAAAUGAAUUGACGGGGGCCCGCACAAGCGGCGGAGCAUGUGGCUUAAUUCGACGCAACGCGAAGAACCUUACCAAGGCUUGACAUACAGGGAAAUCCGGCAGAGAUGUCGGGUCCGCAAGGGUCCUGUACAGGUGGUGCAUGGUUGUCGUCAGCUCGUGUCGUGAGAUGUUGGGUUAAGUCCCGCAACGAGCGCAACCCUCGUCCUAUGUUGCCAGCGCGUAAUGGCGGGGACUCAUAGGAGACUGCCGGGGUCAACUCGGAGGAAGGUGGGGAUGACGUCAAAUCAUCAUGCCCCUUAUGUCUUGGGCUGCACACAUGCUACAAUGGCCGGUACAAAGGGCUGCGAUACCGCAAGGUGGAGCGAAUCCCAAAAAGCCGGUCUCAGUUCGGAUUGGGGUCUGCAACUCGACCCCAUGAAGUCGGAGUCGCUAGUAAUCGCAGAUCAGCAACGCUGCGGUGAAUACGUUCCCGGGCCUUGUACACACCGCCCGU